rnacentral:rRNA from 1 species
AAAUAAAGGAAGUACUUGGUUCUAGUGUGGUGUUAGCGUCAGUUUUUUACUUUACACAAUGCAGAAUAAUUUCAUAAUGUGUUGGAGCCGGUUAUGUUUAGAAGCCAUCUACAGACCUAAAUGGGGUAGCUUGGGGCGCCGGACGCAUAAGUUUUAGAAUGACAAAGCGAAUAAAAGACACGACUCAAGUGGGUAGAUCUGGAAAUCAAUGAGUUCUAGCUCGAGACGAAUAAAGAACUAGUGGGUCAGAGCGAAGUUUGGUGCCAGCAGCUGCGGUUAUACCUAUUUUGAUCGGCUAACGAAGGUGCAGCUUAGAGGCAGUUAAUCAGUGCAUAAAAUGUAAAACACACGGCGGGGUAUUGAAGUAAAAUCCAAGUCCUGCGGGAGGACCGUGAUUUGCGUGACGAUGAAUCUGCGAAGUUAUGGGGAUAGACCCGGAUUUGGCACCCGGUUAUUCCAUGAUGUCAAUCACGGCUACAUCAUAGUAAUUGAAAUUGUUGCUAUGCGUGGUUUGCUAGGAGUACUACGAGCAAUUGCUUAAAACUUGAAGAACUUGGCGGUUCCGUAGAACCCUCCAGAGGCUCUUGGCGGUUAAACUGAUGGUCCGCGUGAUAUCUUACCUGCCUAUAGAAGGCAGUGCACUGCCGUCUAAAGCUUAUGAUGAAAGUGUACGAAAUAGGCUUGUUCUUAGGCUUUAAAUUAUUAAAGUAUGCUGAGACUACGUCAGGUCGUAGUGCUCCUUAUGGGCAAGGGGUUAGCUGAGAGACAAAUAUUUGGUUAUACUAAGCUUGAAGAUGAAACUCUUUUAGCGAAGAGGAUUUGGGAGUAAAAAGAAACUAAUUCGUUUUUUUGAAAGGACGCUACUGCGGUGCGUACAAAUCGCCCGUCACCCUAGCCGAAAGGAGAGGUAAGUCGUAACAUGGUGAGGGUAGGUGAACCUGCUCUUUUAAUAACAUAAGCAGAAAUAUAUUAAAAUCUUAAUAAU